GCCCGUGUGGCUCAGUGGUUGAUCAUCAAUCUAUGAACCAGGAGGUCCCGGGUUCGAUUCCCGGUCAAGGGCA
rnacentral:tRNA from 1 species